CAACAACAAAAAAAAUGUAUUUGUAGAUUGUGAUAAAGUGUAAAUAACUGAAUUUUCAACCAUGGUUUGAAGUCAGCUUUCAGGGCAUUAUGUCUUGUUUUGAUGAAAAGAGAUCACUCUAUACCCCCCUUUUUAAAGGAAAAUUAUCGCAAGAGAAUCAGGAUGUGUAAAGCUAACAUGCAUCGCAAAAAACCAAAGGUGACUGAAAACUCCUAAGACAUUUCCUGGACUAGAAUGGGUAGUGAAGACCCAUGUCAGCUGUCCGAAGAGUCUAGAAACCAGGAGAGCUACCUGCUAUAAACAGCCAUCCUGGAGGCAUUUGCUGAGCACGGAGAAACCCGGGAGAGAUCAACAGUUCUGUUUCACACACACACACCCACCCCUUGAUCUAUCCGAUUUACCUACAGAGAGCCAGCCAGAAUCAUCUUCUAAGAAUCUUUGGGCCCAGAACAGAGACCUUAAGGGUCAGAGGACUGUGAUGCUUAACAUUUAAACUUGCUCAAGACUUUAGAGUUGAAAGGGAUUAACAGUAUCCCUAGCAUGACCUUCUAGAUCAGAAUAGACUGGCAACUUUUAUACAUGACAUUCCCAUGCUGUCUUUCCCUUCAGCCUCCUGCAAAAUUUGCUGAACACUCUACCACCACCUCCUUUUCCUCCCUGCUACACCUGUGUUGUGGGUGUUAGCCUGGCCGCCCUUGGUCUCUUCCAGAGAGAGAAUAGUCACUUCCUCUUGUAACAAGCUAAGGAAAACUAAGUGAGAAGGUUCAUUUACUUUGGGUAAGCAAUUUAACCUCUGAGCCUAUUUUUCUUUUCAUUGUUCAUUACUUGUCCAAAAAGCUCCUAUAAGACAGGGGUUUUUUCUACUUCAUUUCUGUACCAUGUUCCUUCCCAACAAGUAUCUGACCCCAAGGAGCUCAAUAAAGGUUUGGUCAAGUGAUGAGUGGUCUCCCUCUGGUAGCUUCUAUCAACUUUGGGAAAGAACCAAAGCCCUCUAUCUAGCUUUCUUUCCCUCUAGCUAUACUAGGCCAGCUGUUUGUCCUCACAUUUUCUCCUGAAGGAUUGAUUGGCAAGUCCAUGUUUGAUAGAUUCUGGAUUUCUACAGCCUGUGCCUAGCUGAUUUACACUAUUUUCUGAGAGGUUAGGGACUUCCAAUACUGUGCUCUUCCCUAAUGCCUUUGGGUUAUUUAUACAAAUGAUUUAC
ensembl:lncRNA